CAAGCUUAUCAGUUAUCAUUUAAACAAAACAAAAAUUUUCUCUCUCUUUUCCCCCUCUUGAAUCAAGAGCAAGGAUUGAAGGAGUUCUCAAGAUUGAGCUAAAGAGAAGAUUUUGAUUUAUAUUCAAAUUAUUGAUUUUGCAGUUUCAGAGUCGAAGUGGCCAUGGAAGUGGAGAAUGACUAGGGAUAAGAAUUUUACAUAACAUUUUAGUUGAACUUGUUAAGUUUUAUUUUAUUUUAUUUUAUGAUACUACCUUAGUUUUGGCAAGUUGACUUUGAAAUUAGUUUAAAUUUUCUUUAUAAAUCAAGAAAUUAUUAUUUUACUAUCUUUUGUUCUCUAAAUUUUUAAAUAGUAAAGUUUAUGAAAAUUGGGGUGUUACAUAUUAUGUGAGUCUAAUGUGAAUUUUCGAGAAAUUUUCAACAAAGAAAUCCAGAGUUUAGUUUGUCAAGAAUGAGAUAAAAUGGCAUAACUUGUUGAUGUGAAUUAUUUUUGGAUAAAUGAUUUAAGAAUGUUUCAUAUUAUGUCUUUGGCUUUCUAAAAUAAAUUUUUGGGAAUUUUUCCCCAACUAAAAUGUUUUCCGUUUUUUAUAAAAAGUUUUUAAGUAUGUUUGAUAUGAUGUAAAUCAAUUCGAUUAAUUUUGUUGUGAGCUAAUAUGGAAUUUAUAUUUCUUGUGUGUAUGCUUAUCUAUAUGUUUGUUGUCGAUAUAGUUUAGUUCUAUAUUGGGUGAUAAGUCAAGAAUCGAAAUAGUAUUUACUUAGGAAAAGUUUACGAUAUGAGAUCGAGUUAGAUGGAGUGUAGUGUUGGAAUAGUACUAAGAUAGGAAUAGAGUUCUUAGUAAGGAAGUUUCUGACUGAUUUCUUUUAUUCUUAUCAUGAACUACUCUGAUGUGAUGAUACCUGAAGAUACAAGCAGAGGACGGAAGUAAGUUCACCCGAGUGCUACAAGACUAAGCUAAGUUUGUUAUGUGGGCAUUAUUUUACUAUACGUAUAUAGAGAUCCCCUGCGUGUCUUAGGCCUCUUAUACGAAAUGAAAUGAAAGAUAUGAUUUAACUGUUCAGUUUCUGUUUGAUGAAAACUACCAAUGAUGAAUGAUAGAGUUAAAGUUAUGUUUAAACUAAUUGACUUGCCAAUUUUUGAUGAUGAUGAGCUUGUAUGUUACCCUCUACUGAUGAGACGAAUUCGGUCCUGCUACAAGCGGAAUUUUAUGCACAGAGGUGACUGUGAGCCAUCUAUCGGGUCGGCCGGUCAUGGUACCUGAGAGGGAGGCCUACUUCUCAAUACCUUUGAUGAUGAGUUGUAGAUGUGGAUAAGCGAGGAGGGAGAUUGGACUGGUGCUGGUGGGGACUUUGUUUCGAAUGAUGUUUCCUUUUGCCGUAUUUCUAUUUCUUAUGGUAGUACCGUAAUGAUGGAGUUUAUUUUGGAUUUGAUAAAGGAAUAUACUCUUAGCUAUAUGUCUUCAUACAUAUAGUCUAUUCACGUUUUACUGUGAUACUCUGCAUUUUAUGAACCAUUGUAAAUAUUGAACUAUUUCCACUUUGUAAAUAUUGUCGAGAAUCUUGAUACUUUUG